UACAGAGGGUGCGAGCGUUAAUCGGAAUUACUGGGCGUAAAGCGUGCGUAGACGGUUAUUUAAGUCGGGUGUGAAAGCCCCGGGCUCAACCUUGGAACUGCAUUUGUGACUGCAUAGCUAGAGUACGGUAGAGGGGGAUGGAAUUCCGCGUGUAGCAGUGAAAUGCGUAGAUAUGCGGAGGAACACCGAUGGCGAAGGCAAUCCCCUGGACCUGUACUGACGCUCAUGCACGAAAGCGUGGGGAGCAAACAGG
rnacentral:rRNA from 1 species